rnacentral:rRNA from 1 species
AGAACGAACGCUGGCGGCAGGCUUAACACAUGCAAGUCGAACGAACCCUUCGGGGUUAGUGGCGGACGGGUGAGUAACACGUGGGAACGUGCCCUUAGGUUCGGAACAACACAGGGAAACUUGUGCUAAUACCGGAUGUGCCCUUACGGGGAAAGAUUUAUCGCCUUUGGAGCGGCCCGCGUCUGAUUAGCUUGUUGGUGAGGUAAAGGCUCACCAAGGCUACGAUCAGUAGCUGGU